ensembl:lncRNA
CUAAAAUAAAACUCAACUUACCGCAAUGCCCACGUUGUGCGCCCUCUUUAUCCUUUUAUGUAAUGGCUCUUCCCGCGGUCUUUGUUCCUCUUGCGGUCUUUGCUCGUCAAACUUUCGCUCAAGAGCACAAAGAUAACAGUGUUUGCAGCUUGCUUCUCCAUCAAACCCUGAAGCUGACGAGACAAAGCGUUCUGACCGGAGAUCAGCUGUUUCAUUAUAUCAUUUAUGCUCAGUGGGCAUGCUGCUGGUUGCAAAGCCCUAUUACUCACGGGAGUAGUAAAACUCAGGUUUCUUUUACACGCCAUCACAAACAAUAGUCAGUUUCACCAAGUCGCAAUUCGCAAAAAAUGACUUCCGUACACAAUGCCGACAAUUUAAAUUGUGUUCGCGCGAAUGAUACUGUAAUGUCAUUGGUUGCAUUCCCUUACGUCACCGACAUAAUGGCCGGAACAGACUGAUACUGCUGCAGCAUUUCUCCCUGUGGAGCGUAUUGCAGGCAGAUGUGUACUUAGUACAUCAACCGUGCAGUUAAGUCACACUAAAGAGAAAGUCUCGGUUGUAAUUCCACUAUGCACUGUGGUAGAGAUUUAGAAAUUUGUUUUGUCAUUGUUAAUGUCUAUUUUCAUUUUUGUCAUUAUCUGUAAAUGUCAACCUUUACAAUAAACCUUUUUCUUGAUAUACUAAAACAAUGUUUGUUGUAUUCCUCUUGACUAAUGUAACCCAUGAAGAGUCAGACAUAUAAAGUAAUUUUUACACAUUAAAAAGGUAAUCAUGUCUAUUGACUUUGUUUAUUUGAGAACAUUUUUGCAACAGUCAAAAUAACAAAUUAAAUUAUAUUACUAACAAGCGUGUUUAGGGGAUAAGGUGUGUUGCGGAAAGUCGCUUGGCUGUGUCGCUUGAUAUGAUAUACCAUAAGUUAUUUUGAUAUAGCAAUUAAACUUACAUAAAAUUUAUAAUAUGUGUCCCUGGACCACAUAACCAGUCAUACAUUUUUUUUUUUGAGUUUUACUUUAUAAAUAUUUGGCAAUGAUACAACAAUAAAAAACGGCAAAAAAAAAAUUUUUUUUUGAGAAAAUCCCCAGUUGUCCAAAUGAAGUCCUUAGCAACAAAUAUUAGGCUACUAAUGAUAAAUAUAUUUUUGAUAAAUGUAGUGAUCUUCACACAAACACCAAUAAAUAUAUUAAAUAUAUUUAAUAAAUAUAUAUUUACAUUACUAUUAUUUUUAUGGAACUUUUUUAAUAUCCUAAUAUUUUUUAACAACAGAAAAAUCAAUUAUUUUGAUCCAUUUAACGUAUUGUUGGCUAUUGCUAAUUCUACAAAUAUAACCUACAUGUGCUACUUAUGAGUUUACUUAUGUUUUGUGGCCCAGGGUCAAAUGUGACAUGGAUAUAUUAUAAAAGACCAACUUUGGCCUGCGUGCCCUAGUUUUGUCACCUCUGGACUAGAAGUACAGUAGCUGACAGGUAUCUGCAGAUAUUUUUACCCGAUAUUUUAACCGACUUUUAGAUUAUGGACCUGUCUAUUGAUUUUCUUUGUUUCUAUUUUAAAAUAUUUAAUGAAAUGUUAGGGUAGAAUCAUAAUAACAAUAGAAACAGUGAACUUCAAAUCAUGAGACAUCAGCAAAAAUAAGCAGCUUUAAAUUUCACUUACUUAUGAAUAUGGUACUGAAUUUAUCAACAUCCUAGCUAGCAAAAUGUGUUACAUGAUGUUUUUGAAACAAAAUGUCUCAUUUGAACUGCUUCUUUUAUACAAUGAAUGCAGCAUUGAGAGAUACGUGCACAACAUACUGUCAUAGGGCAGUUGGAGACAUGUUUUCAAAGUGUUGAAAAUAUAUAUUCUGAAAUAACAUUUGUUGCAUUCCUCUACAUUAAACAUGAAAAGUCAGAGACAUAAUUUUCACAUAUUAAAAUGGUAAUUGUGUCCAUUGAAUUUCAGUUAAUUUGAAUGAUGCUAAGUUUCUUAAAUAGACUAAUUAAAUUAUAUUAAUAAUAAACGUAUUUAGCAAACACAGUUUUUAUGUUCCACAAUACUGUAUGUGCUCUCUUUACGAGACAUUGUUACCCCCCCCCCAGCUCUGAAUCAGAGAAGGCACCUCUACCUGGGGGGUCAUUAACAUAUAAAAAGCCCUUCACACCUCACACCCACCCCUCCUCACAACCAGCUGUAAGGAUUCCUGGAAACUUCCACCAGUUCCUAUAUACAUCCACAUAUGUAAGGUUUCUGGAUGUUUCACGAGUUUACUUCUGUGUAUUACCUUUCCAAGCACUCUGCCUCAUUUAUCUGGCAAACCUACAGUUUAGCAGAGAUUUCCCACCCGGUAUUUGUCCGUAUACAGCUUUUUUCAUGCAGUGAUCCAUAUUCAAAUGUUUAUUCAAUCUCUACCAAAAAGAAUGUGUUUUCAUUAAUUUUGCCUGUUGAGGAAUGGUCUUGUUUUAUCCUGUUUUAGUCAUUUGCAGAAGCAAAAAAAGUCUUAAAUAUGAAUCAGAGGAAAUGUCUGGAGGACACCAAAUCCUUAAAAACUUUGUAAAAUCAACCUGAUGCUGUUGUUAAAUGUUGUAGCUCACUAUUUUUUAAUUUGGGUAUUCAAUCUGAGAUCCUAACUGUUUCAGACUUUACAAAGUGUUGUCUGUGAGAGUGCUUUUGAGACAGAACAGAGACAUUUAUAUGAGGAGGGUGGAAUAGAUUAUUUAAUAUAUGUCCACUAACAUGUCUUUUUGUGAGCAGCAUUGUGUUUUGUCUGUGAUAGAGUAUUAGAGUUUCUGAAAUGUAACCAUAAAGCAAUAAACUACUUUUAAUGAUUCAUCUGUCCCAGAGUUUCUGAUUUUUAUUUGGUGUUUAGAAAAAAAACAAAAAAGUCUUAAAACGUUUUUUUAUUUUUAUUUCCACAGUUCUACUUUAAAUGUUGUCAAGUUGAUUAGGAAAACAAUAAUAAACUUGGAUUAUGUAGCCC